GACGAACGCUGGCGGCGUGCUUAACACAUGCAAGUCGAACGGAAAGGCCCUGCUUGCAGGGUACUCGAGUGGCGAACGGGUGAGUAACACGUGGGUGAUCUGCCCUGCACUUCGGGAUAAGCCUGGGAAACUGGGUCUAAUACCGGAUAGGAGCCAUUCUUAGUGUGAUGGUUGGAAAGUUUUUUCGGUGUAGGAUGAGCUCGCGGCCUAUCAGCUUGUUGGUGGGGUAAUGGCCUACCAAGGCGGCGACGGGUAGCCGGCCUGAGAGGGUGGACGGCCACAUUGGGACUGAGAUACGGCCCAGACUCCUACGGGAGGCAGCAGUGGGGAAGAUUGCACAAUGGGCGCAAGCCUGAUGCAGCGACGCCGCGUGGGGGAUGACGGCCUUCGGGUUGUAAACUCCUUUCGCUAGGGACGAAGCUUUUUGUGACGGUACCUAGAUAAGAAGCACCGGCUAACUACGUG
rnacentral:rRNA from 1 species